rnacentral:tRNA from 1 species
CCGACCUUAGCUCAGUUGGUAGAGCGGAAGACUGUAGGAUCUUUAGGUCGCUGGUUCGAUUCCGGCAGGUCGGA